CCUACGGGAGGCUGCAGUGGGGAAUAUUGCUCAAUGGGCGAAAGCCUGACGCAGCGACGCCGCGUGAGGGAUGAAGGUCUUCUGAUCGUAAACCUCUGUCAGCAGGGAAGAACGGUCACUGUGCUAAUCAGCAGUGAAUUUACCGUACCUGCAAAGGAAGCACCGGCUAACGCCGUGCCAGAAGCCGCGGUAAUACGGAGGGUGCUUUCGUUAAUCGGAAUUACUGGGCGUAAAGCGCUCGUAGGCGGUAUGUCAAGUCAAGGGUGAAAUCCCCGCGCUCAACGUGGGAACUGCCUUUGAAACUGGCAAACUGGAGUGUGUGAGAGGAUGGUGGAAUUCCAGGUGUAGGAGUGAAAUGCGUAGAUAUCUGGCGGAACAUCAGUGGCGAAGGCGACUAUCUGGCCCAUAACUGACGCUGAGGAGCGAAAGCGUGGGUAGCAAACAGGAUUAGAUACCCUGGUAGUC
rnacentral:rRNA from 1 species